rnacentral:lncRNA from 1 species
GGGGACGACCAUGCACACAGCGUGCUCCCCUUCCCGGGGGCCAGCACCGCAUUCCUGCUCUUGCCCUCGCAGUGGCCCUGGGGGACAGCCUGAUGGUGUCCCCACCUGAGCUCAGCGACACCAAGCAGUUUGCUGAAAGAUGCAGCGCCAACUCUGCCUUCAGAGCAGCAGGGACUUUUCACAACUCCGGAAAAGGGUUCCCAGCGACUCCAAGGCUGGAAGAUGAUGACUCCGUUCCCAGCCCCGCAGCCCACCAGCGUGGCAGUGGACAAGCCACCCAAGACCAUAGACGAGAAAGGCCACAGACCAUCGGGAAUGUCUCUUCGGCUCAAGAUAAUUUUCAGCAAAAUGGUCAGAAUACAAAGGGUCUGGGUAUCUUCCUGGUUGAUUGUGGAAGAUCAGCCUGGUCACAUGGGCGGCAGCCGAGCGAGGGACAGAGUCUGAGACACUCACCCCACGACGUGGAAGACACCUGGUGACCGUCUGGCAGAAGAAUAAGUCCACAAGAAAGGCCCGAAGUUACGUAAACUUCAGGCCUCACAAAAUCUGGUCAGUUCAUGCAUGUCCCCUAUGGGCAGAAGAACUAAAAGUUAAAUAGCCCUGAGAAAGCCCACAGAAAAUUAGUCCUUCUGAGGAUCUGUGCCUCUACACCCCAAGUCUGCUCAGCCAUCUCCACUCCUGCGUAGGGUUAGGCUGGGCUGGUGUUGUUAAUCAAGCAUAACACAAAAAUGAGAACUUAAGCACAUUUUUGUUAGUCAUUUAAUGUGUUUUGGAUUCUAACUUUUGAGGUGACAAAUAGAAAUGGCAAGCAAUAGGAUAUAUUGGAGUAUAUGAGGAAGCCAUUUGGUGUAAGCCUAAUUUGGCCUGACCUUGUUUUUCCAAAAGGGCCUGAUCAUGGCUGUUGAGCACGUGUUGCAUAUCUGCUUUAAACAUUUCCUAUGGCAAGAACAAAGGCCCUUGAGACAAAGGUGCAACUUCUCUCCCCCUCCCAACUUUGGCAUUUCCUUAAAGAUUAAGCGUCUUUCCUUAGGCUAGGAACUGAUUGCUGCACUCACCUGUGACCACCCAGCUCAAGACAAUAGACUGCCAUCCUGCUGUUUCCAUCAAUCGCUGUGCCGACAGAGCAGUCUCAUGACUAUUGUAAAAGGGACAUUUCAAUACUAUGUAAAGCAUCCUGUUUGGGGGUAUAGAACCACUCUGUGCACCUCACUUCUUUGGUGCCCUGUCUUCCUUCGGGAAGAAAGGCCCCAGGCCAUGGUCCUCACAUUUUAGCUCAGAAUAAACUCACCCAAAUUUUCAUUUAUAGAUUGGUUAUGGAUUAUUUUUGUCAACAGAGGUUAUCAAAAUAGAUUUCAAUAAGACAAAAAAUGAUA